GGAAUCGCUAGUAAUCGCGGAUCAGAAUGCCGCGGUGAAUACGUUCCCGGGUCUUGUACACACCGCCCGUCACACCAUGGGAGUCGGAAAUGCCCGAAGUCUGUGACCCAACCGCGAGGAGGGAGCAGCCGAAGGCAGGUCGGAUGACUGGGGUGAAGUCGUAACAAGGUAAC
rnacentral:rRNA from 1 species